GACGAACGCUGGCGGCGUGCUUAACACAUGCAAGUCGAACGAUGAACCCGGAGCUUGCUCCGGUGGAUUAGCGGCGAACGGGUGAGGAACACGUGAAGAAUCUGCCCUCCACUUUGGGAUAACACAGGGAAACCUGUGCUAAUACCGAAUAUUGAAACAUAAGUGGCAUCACUGGGUUUUGAAAGAAUUUCGGUGGAGGAUGACUUCGCGGCCUAUCAGCUAGUUGGUGAGGUAAUGGCUCACCAAGGCAACGACGGGUAGCCGGCCUGAGAGGGCGACCGGCCACACUGGGACUGAGACACGGCCCAGACUCCUACGGGAGGCAGCAGUGGGGAAUAUUGGGCAAUGGAGGAAACUCUGACCCAGCGACGCCGCGUGCGGGAUGAAGGCCUUCGGGUUGUAAACCGCUUUCAGUAGGGAAGAAGCGAAAGUGACGGUACCUACAAAAGAAGCACCGGCUAACUAUGUG
rnacentral:rRNA from 1 species